rnacentral:lncRNA from 1 species
AUCCCCAGGCGGAGUCCGGGGUAAGCAGCACAGCAUCCCAGCCCCAGGCCUACCCGGACGGUGUUGCUUGGGCAUUGGAAAACGUGGCUUGGUCAAGCACAGGCGCCCGAACUCCCCGGGUCCCAGGUAGUCUUCGAUUUUCGUUGGCAUUGAUGGAAAGGUCACUCGUUCCCCCCUUCCGCCGGCACAUGCCUGGCCACC